UAUUUAUUGAAGUGUUUCAAAGAAAAUUAUACUGGUUUAGGUUGGUUUUAACACGUUUAUUGCUGCUGAGAGCAAGGCCCAAGUGCUUUAAAUUCUGAUUCUGUAGUAAGCAGACCUAGGCGGAACUACGGCUAUUACAAUAAAGACAUUAUUAUUGUUUUGUCAGUGGAGCAAUUGAAUCUCCAAGUUGGUUCUGUAAAUCGCACGCCAUUUCAUCGCGUUUUUGUGGCCAAUCGAUGCCGAGUACUGCCAUUUAUGCGUUCGCUCGUAGUAGACCGAAAAUGAACGGCUCGUUCAACGAAAAGAAAGCUCUCCCUCUUCACAGUUUAUUGGGAAAAUGGCAUACAAAGCUAAUAAAAUCUGGUCCAAAAGAAUGGAGAGUCGGAUGACGUUGGGGUCCGUUUUAGGUGUAGAGGUGUUGAAAGUAGUGUAGAAAUGCUUAGUAGACACUCACCUAAAAAAGUAUCAGAAAAAGACCCUGAGUCUGUUCUUCGAUGCAGUCCUUACCGAGUUUAGUAGCAAUUUGCCCACAAUUUUCAGGUUUAUUUUGUUCAGAUGACAAGCUACGAAAAUUGGUUCUUACUAAUGCAUUCUCUUGAGUAAUAUCUUUGAGCUUAAAGUUCCAAAUUACAAAAGUUCGAAGUUCUUCAAUUUCUUGUGUUGAUAUAAUAUGCCAUUUGAUUAUGCUAGAACACCCGUACGCAUUUAUUGUAAAAUGUUUAUGUGGAGUGUGGGAGAAAGGAGUGGUGUAAUAACCAGUGUAUUUAAUCCUGCCUCAGUGUCUCACUAUAGUACCUUUCCUACGACCCUCCAUUUUCGAGACAUUCACACGUAAAUUCAAUAAUGUCUCGUCUACACGUUCCAACCGCCUUUUGAAAGUCCCUCGAAACUCAGUUCUUCAGAUAUUUGCACGGAAAGUUUGGACCUCAUCAGUAGGUGUGUCUCGUCCAGACGUUCUACUUGCACUUUAUGAGUACCCUCUUUGGACACUAUUUUCUAGAUAUUCGUUUCGACUUCGCCAAUAGAUAUAUCUCGUCCGGACGAUUCAUUGUGUCUUUAUGAGUAUGUAUAUAUGUAUCAUAUGGGUGGCACUCACUAGGUACAACAGCCGUCUGUGUGACCUAACGACAGUCGUGCUAUGACUGCCGGGACCGGCAGCUUUACAUGCCCUCCAAAACAUGGUCGUCAGGAGGAGCUGUACCAAGAAAACCUGGCAAGUUGCGUGAUUCGAACUCACCACCUGUUAGGUCAGAGUCGGAAUCUUAAACCGUUACGUCAAAAUGAUUACUCUUUGUGAGUUGAACGUCCCAAUUGCCCGUUGUCCGUUGUGGACACCCUCCCCGGACACUCUCCUAUUGAGAUAUGAGAAUUAUGACGGAUCACGAUAAGGGUUCGAGGAGGACGACUGUGGUUGGUGUAAAUUAAUUCAUUUCGUUCGCUUUUCAUUAUAUAGUACAUUAAGGAUAAAAUGUAAUUAGAAGGGUUAAUUGCAGUAAGGCUGUGAUACCCACAGGAAACCAUCUCGCCACUUCUGGUUAAUGGGGGUAAUUAUAUAACUGCAAUUGAGUCUGGCAGUAGCCCAAGCUGAUGGCCGGACAGUCGGCAGAAGCUUACUAAGGCUACGUAGUUUAAACUAGAGAGCGC